rnacentral:rRNA from 1 species
AUGGGCGGAAGCCGGCGGUCUCCCAUUUGCGGGUCUUUGGCUGUCUUGCGUUCGCUAGAGCUCGGCCACAUCGGCAAGCUCGACGACAGGAGCACGCCGGGAGUCUUCAUCGGCUACGCGGAGGGCUCAAAGGCCUACCGCAUCCUCGACCCAAAGACACAGCGUGUGCGCACGGCGCGAGACGUCGUGUUCAACAAAGGGCGAGGGUGGCAAUGGGACAAGGCGGUGGACGACGGCUCGACGCUGACGUAUGACGACUUCAUUGUUGAGUACGCCCACUUCAAGGAAGCCGGGGGAGCAAGCAGCUCCUCUUCGCCGGGCACGUCUACCCCGGCCCCCAAAACUACAUCGACUCCGGUGCCUGCUACGCCGACGGCACCACAACUGGCGACGCCGCAUACUCCAGCCCCGGCAGUCACCACUCCGGGUUCGUCUUCAUCAGCACCAGCCCACGCAGAGCACAACCCGAUGAAGUUCGCUUCCCCGCUCACUCACGACGAGGAGCGUGUCGACGCGUAUUAUGGAGGCGAACAGCUGCGGUAUCGCACGAUGGAUGAUCUACUCGGCGACCAGCCGGUGCCGGGACUGAUGCCACGCGACGUGGAGGCGCAGCUACAACUCGCGUGUGAGGACGGCGAACCUCGGUCCUUUGCAGAGGCCGAGAGAGAUGCGGCAUGGCGCGCAGCGAUGCAGUUGGAGAUGGAUGCGGUCGAGCAAAACCGCACCUGGGAGCUCGCUGACCUCCCUCGUGGUCACCACACAAUCACCCUUAACUGGGUGUUCAAGCUGAAGAGGGAUGGAGCCGGCGCCAUCAUCAAGCACAAGGCUCGCCUGGUGGCCCGAGGCUUCUUGCAGCAGGAAGGAGUCGACUUCGACGACGCCUUCGCUCCCGUGGCACGGAUGGAGUCCGUGCGACUUCUCCUUGCGCUGGCUGCCCAGGAGGGCUGGCGUGUCCAUCACAUGGAUGUCAAGUCGGCAUUCCUCAACGGCGACUUGAAGGAGGAAGUCUACGUGCAUCAGCCACCGGGAUUUGCGAUUCCCGGCCAGGAGGGCAAGGUACUCCGCCUGCGCAAGGCUCUCUAUGGCCUACGGCAGGCACCUAGGGCAUGGAACGCCAAGCUGGACUCCACGCUAAAGAAGAUGGGCUUCGAGCAAAGCCCGCAUGAGGCUGCCGUCUACCGACGGGGUAGUGGAGGAAAUGCCCUGCUGGUGGGCGUCUAUGUUGACGACUUGGUGAUCACCGGCACCAAAGAUGCAGAGGUGGCGGCGUUCAAGGAAGACAUGAAGGCCACCUUCCAGAUGAGUGAUCUGGGGCUCCUCUCCUUCUAUCUAGGGAUUGAGGUGCACCAGGACCACUCCGGGAUCGCGCUUCGACAGUCCGCCUACGCCAAGCGCAUCGUUGAGCUAGCUGGGCUCACCGACUGCCACCCAGCUCUCACUCCGAUGGAGGAGAGGCUAAAACUGAGCCGCGACAGCACGACGGAGGAACGACCGACAUCGGAACACCAGCAGGCAGUGAAGAGGAUCGUCCGCUACGUAGCAGGGACCCUCGACCACGGCCUCCACUACCCUAGGUGUCCGGGGGUGGCACACUUCGUCGGGUACAGCGACCACGCCGGCGACAUCGACACCAGCAAGAGCACGAGCGGGAUCCUCUUCUUCCUCGGCAAGUGUCUCGUGAGCCGGCAAUCAGUCAAGCAGCAGGUGGUGGCCCUGUCCAGCUGUGAGGCUGAGUACAUAGCGGCCUCCACUGCCUGCACUCAGGCGCUCUGGCUCGCUCGACUGCUUGGUGAUCUUCUCGUUCAAGACACCAGAACGGUGCAGCUCCUGGUGGACAGCAAGUCCACCCUGGCUCUGGCAAAGAACCCCGUGUUCCACGAACGGAGCAAGCACAUCCGACUGAGGUAUCACUUCAUCCGCAGCUGUGUGGAAGAAGGGAGCAUCGAGGCGAGCUACAUCAACACCACGGACCAGCUCGCAGACCUGCUCACCAAGCCUCUUGGGAGGGUCAAGUUCCUUGAACUUUGCUCCAGGAUUGGGAUGAUUCAACUCUCCCACAAGACGACGUACAAGACUUAG